rnacentral:rRNA from 1 species
UGCAAGUCGAACGGUAACAGGGAGCUUGCUCCGCUGACGAGUGGCGAACGGGUGAGUAAUAUAUCGGAACGUACCCAAGAGUGGGGGAUAACGUAGCGAAAGUUACGCUAAUACCGCAUACGAUCCAAGGAUGAAAGCAGGGGACCUUCGGGCCUUGUGCUCCUGAAGCGGCCGAUAUCUGAUUAGCUAGUUGGUGAGGUAAAGGCUCACCAAGGCGACGAUCAGUAGCUGGUCUGAGAGGACGACCAGCCACACUGGAACUGAGACACGGUCCAGACUCCUACGGGAGGCAGCAGUGGGGAAUUUUGGACAAUGGGCGCAAGCCUGAUCCAGCAAUGCCGCGUGAGUGAAGAAGGCCUUCGGGUUGUAAAGCUCUUUUGUCAGGGAAGAAACGGCUGUGGCUAAUAUCCACGGCUAAUGACGGUACCUGAAGAAUAAGCACCGGCUAACUACGUGCCAGCAGCCGCGGUAAUACGUAGGGUGCAAGCGUUAAUCGGAAUUACUGGGCGUAAAGCGUGCGCAGGCGGUUUUGUAAGUCUGUCGUGAAAUCCCCGGGCUCAACCUGGGAAUUGCGAUGGAGACUGCAAGGCUAGAAUCUGGCAGAGGGGGGUAGAAUUUCACGUGUAGCAGUGAAAUGCGUAGAGAUGUGGAGGAACACCGAUGGCGAAGGCAGCCCCCUGGGUCAAGAUUGACGCUCAUGCACGAAAGCGUGGGGAGCAAACAGGAUUAGAUACCCUGGUAGUCCACGCCCUAAACGAUGUCUACUAGUUGUCGGGUUUUAAUUAACUUGGUAACGCAGCUAACGCGUGAAGUAGACCGCCUGGGGAGUACGGUCGCAAGAUUAAAACUCAAAGGAAUUGACGGGGACCCGCACAAGCGGUGGAUGAUGUGGAUUAAUUCGAUGCAACGCGAAAAACCUUACCUACCCUUGACAUGUCAGGAAUGCCGAAGAAUUUGGCAGUGCCCGAAAGGGAACCUGAACACAGGUGCUGCAUGGCUGUCGUCAGCUCGUGUC